rnacentral:rRNA from 1 species
AUUGAACGCUGGCGGCAGGCCUAACACAUGCAAGUCGAACGAGCGGCGGACGGGUGAGUAAUGUAUGGGGACUGCCCGAUAGAGGGGGAUAACUCCUGGAAAAGGUAGCUCAUACCGCAUACUAUCGGAUUACCCAUAUUGGAUUAGCUAGUAGGUGAGGUAAUGGCUCACGUAGGCGACGAUCCCUAGCUGGUCUGAGAGGAUGAGCAGCCAAACUGGAACUGAGACACGGCCCAGACUCCUACGGAGGCAGCAGUGGGGAAUAUUGCACAAUGGGCGCAAGCCUGAUGCAGCCAUGCCGCGUGUAUGAAGAAGGCCCUAGGGUUGUAAAGUACUUUCAGUCGUGAGGCGUUACCGGCAGAAGAAGCACCGGCUAACUCCGUGCCAGCAGCCGCGGUAAUAC